CUGAAUCGCAGUAAAGCUGGUGUUCUCCUGAAGCCAACAUUUAUGGUAUUACCUUGCUGAUCCAGGCAAAAUGGCAAAAGUAUAGUGAACAUAAAGCCAGGGGCUGAGAUUGUGGGCGUCCUCUGUACCAAGUUUCUGAUUAUGAAAAUUCCAACGGCCAAUUUUGAAACAAACCAGGCAGACAGACCCAGAUGCAGAAUGCUGCAGGCUGAGGGAUGUUAGGAAGAGUUAGCCCACCACUGCUGCGCUGAAACCAGGAUGACAGAAACUGGGCCUCAGGCCAGGUGUAUUCCUUGGAGUAUAACUGAAGGUUUACUUGGUAAUUCUAUGUUUAACUUUUUGUGGAACUUCUGGACUAUCUUCCAAAGCAACAGUACCAUUGUACAUUUUCACCAGCCAUGUAUGACGGUCACACUCUCUCCACAUUCUUGCCAAAACUUAUCAUUUUUCAUAUAAGAGACAGCCUAGUGUGUGU
rnacentral:lncRNA from 1 species